rnacentral:rRNA from 1 species
UACGGAGGGGGCUAGCGUUGUUCGGAAUUACUGGGCGUAAAGCGCACGUAGGCGGCUUUGUAAGUUAGAGGUGAAAGCCCAGAGCUCAACUCUGGAACUGCCUUUAAGACUGCAUCGCUUGAAUCAUGGAGAGGUUAGUGGAAUUCCGAGUGUAGAGGUGAAAUUCGUAGAUAUUCGGAAGAACACCAGUGGCGAAGGCGACUAACUGGACAUGUAUUGACGCUGAGGUGCGAAAGCGUGGGGAGCAAACAGGAUUAGAAACCCCAGUAGUCC